rnacentral:rRNA from 1 species
UACGUAGGGUGCAAGCGUUAAUCGGAAUUACUGGGCGUAAAGCGCGCGUAGGCGGCUUUGCAAGUCGGGUGUGGAAAUCCCCAGGCUCAACCUGGGAACUGCAUUCGAGACUGCAUUGCUAGAGUAUGGGAGAGGGAAGUGGAAGUUUCCGGUGUAGCGGUGAAAUGCGUAGAUAUCGGAAGGAACAUCAGUGGCGAAAGCGACUCCUGGACCAAUACUGACGCUCAUGUGCGAAAGCGUGGGGAGCAAACAGG